AUUAUACACAGCAAAAUACAGUACUAAAAUUGGAAUGAUACAGAGAAGAUUAACGUGACCCCUGAGCAAGGGUGACAUGCAGAACUCUUGUCCAAGACAAUA